ensembl:misc_RNA Metazoa_SRP Metazoan signal recognition particle RNA
GCUGGGUACAGUGGCACAUGCCUAAAGUCCCAGCUACUUGGGAGGAUGGCUUGAGCCCAGGAGUUCUGGGGUACAGUGUGCUCUGCUGACUGGGUGUCUGCACUAAGUUUAAUAUCAGUAUGGUGACCUCUUGGGAGUGAGGGACCACCAGGUUGCCUAAAGAGGGGUGAACUGGCCCAGGUCGAAAACAGAGCAGGUAAAAACUCCUAUGUUGAUCAGUAGUGGGAUCCUGCUUGUGAAUAGCCACUGCACUCCAGCUUAGGCAAGUGCAAUA